rnacentral:rRNA from 1 species
UACAGAGGGGGCAAGCGUUGUUCGGAAUUACUGGGCGUAAAGGGCGCGUAGGCGGCCGCCUAAGUCAGACGUGAAAUCCCUCGGCUCAACCCAGGAACUGCGUCCGAUACUGGGAGGCUUGAAUCCGGGAGAGGGAUGCGGAAUUCCAGGUGUAGCGGUGAAAUGCGUAGAUAUCUGGAGGAACACCGGUGGCGAAGGCGGCAUCCUGGACCGGUAUUGACGCUGAGGCGCGAAAGCCAGGGGAGCAAACGGG